AUUGAACGCUGGCGGCGUGCCUAAUACAUGCAAGUAGGACGCAGUUGCGAACGGGUGAGUAACGCGUAGGUAACUACCUAUUAGAGGGGGAUCACUAUUGGAAACGAUAGCGCAUACCGCAUACUAGUAGAUGGACCUGCGUUGUAUUAGCGAGUAGGUCGGGUAAUGGCCUACCUAGGCAACGAUACAUAGCCGGCCUGAGAGGGAGAUCGGACACACUGGGAUUGAGAAACGGCCCCGACUCCUACGGGAGGCAGCAGUAGGGAAUCUUCGGCAAUGGGGGGAACCCUGACCGAGCAACGCCGCGUGAGUGAAGAAGGUUUUCGGAUCGUAAAGCUCUGUUGUUCAGGAAGCGGUACUUAACCAGAAAGGGACGGCUAACUACGUGCCAGCAGCCGCGGUAAUUC
rnacentral:rRNA from 1 species